rnacentral:rRNA from 1 species
AGUGAACGCUGGCGGCGUGCUUAACACAUGCAAGUCGAACGAGAACGGAUUAUAGCUUGCUAUAAUUGUCAGCUAAGUGGCGCACGGGUGAGUAAUGUAUAGGUAAUAUGCCUCUUACUAAGGGAUAACAAUUGGAAACGAUUGCUAAUACCUUAUACUCCUUAUUAACAUAAGUUAAUAAGGGAAAGAUUUAUUGGUAAGAGAUUAGCCUGUAUUGUAUCAGUUAGUUGGUGGGGUAAAGGCUUACCAAGACUAUGACACAUAACUGGUUUGAGAGGAUGAUCAGUCACACUGGAACUGAUACACGGUCCAGUCUCCUACGGUAGGCAGCAGUGGGGAAUAUUGCACACUGGACGAAACUCUGAUGCAGCAACUCCGCGUGGAGGAUGACACAUUUCGGUGCGUAAACUCCUUUUAUAUGAGAAGAUAAUGACGGUAUUAUAUGAAUAAGCACCGGCUAACUCCGUGCCAGCAGCCGCAGUAAUAC